rnacentral:rRNA from 1 species
GAUGAACGCUGGCGGCGUGCCUAAUACAUGCCAGUCGAGCGAACAGAUAAGGAGCUUGCUCCUUUGAAGUUAGCGGCGGACGGGUGAGUAACACGUGGGUAACCUACCUAUAAGACUGGGAUAACUUCGGGAAACCGGAGCUAAUACCGGAUAACAUUUAGAACCGCAUGGUUCUAAAGUGAAAGAUGGUUUUGCUAUCACUUAUAGAUGGACCCGCGCCGUAUUAGCUAGUUGGUAAGGUAACGGCUUAUCAAGGCGACGAUACGUAGCCGACCUGAGAGGGUGAUCGGCCACACUGGAACUGAGACACGGUCCAGACUCCUACGGGAGGCAGCAGUAGGGAAUCUUCCGCAAUGGGCGAAAGCCUGACGGAGCAACGCCGCGUGAGUGAUGAAGGGUUUCGGCUCGUAAAACUCUGUUAUUAGGGAAGAACAAAUGUGUAAGUAACUGUGCACAUCUUGACGGUACCUAAUCAGAAAGCCACGGCUAACUACGUG